rnacentral:tmRNA from 1 species
GGGGGCGUAUGGUUUCGACAGCAGGUUGGAGGAUCGAGAGGAGCGGGCCGAGGAUGGGUAAACCUCGAUAAUCCGGACCCAAAACAAUAAUCGUCAACAACGAUUACGCACUCGCUGCUUAAUUAAGUAGCGACGGUCUCCGCGGCUUCCGCCGUCGGGCUUCGGAAGACCGUCACAAAGACGGCUGGGACCCUUACAACGUUUUCCGGUAAGGGGCCGAGACUCUAAGGGGAAACAGUGGAGAUGCAGAUCCUGUCUCUGGGAGCUGCUGAUCCGAGAUUAAAACAGAGACUACGCUCGUAGCGCCUCUCAGGUCGGCCCCUGUUGGACGGGAGUUCGAAUCUCCCCGCCUCCACCA